AUUGAACGCUGGCGGCAGGCUUAACACAUGCAAGUCGAACGAGUGGCGGACGGGUAAGUAAUGCUUGGGAAUCUAGCUUAUGGAGGGUGAUAACUACGGGAAACUGUAGCUAAUACCGCGUACCAUCGGAUGAGCCCAAGUGGGAUUAGCUAGUUGGUGUGGUAAUGGCUCACCAAGCCGACGAUCCCUAGCUGGUCUGAGAGGAUGACCAGCCACACGGGAACUGAGAUACGGCCGAGACUCCAACGUGAGGCAGCAGGGCGGAAUAUUGCGCAAUGGGGGAAAGCUGACGCAGCCAUGCCGCGUGAAUGAAGAAGGCCUUCGGGUUGUAAAGUUCUUUCGGUGGCGAGGCGUUAACUACAGAAGAAGCACUGGCUAACUCCGUGCCAGCAGCCGCGGUAAUAC
rnacentral:rRNA from 1 species